GAGAAGUGUUGGAUGUAGAAGCCAACAGAAAGAAAUAUCAACUGCAUUAAGCUAUAAUGCGACUGAAAAAGGUACAUGCUAAUCAUACACAAUCCACAGAAUAUGACACCACUUGUGUAAAAUAUACAUCACAUGAGUACUAAAGCUUCCAAUAAAUUCCUUGGCCGUGUAAGAUGCCUGCGAUGAUACCCCAGAAGAGAAUCUCCGCAAAGAUGACAUAGAGUAGAAUGCCUACUCUUUGAGAAUGCCAAACUCCAAUGAAUAUAUGCUUUUUAAUCCAAUAUAUCAAUGUGUUAUGGGGGUCAUCAUAGUACCAGCCAUUAAUAAAGCCAGCAAAGACGCCUUCAGCAGCCAUUACAUAAACAAGCAUGGCAUUCAUGCCAAUCCAUUUAAAUGGCAGAAAAAUGAACUGCAAACCCCAAAUAUCAACCUGCAAUGGAAGCAAAUGAAUUUCAGCUCAGAUCACAAUUUAUAACAGUUAAAACUAAAGUUCCCCAGCCUACAAUGGUUCAGCCAAUCUGUGUUCAUGCCCAAACUUGGUAACCAAAUCCAUAAGCUGCAUCGUUAGAUGGGAAAACAUAGGGUGUUAACAGAAACAGAUGCUUAUAUGCAAUUUCACAAUUAGAACACUGAACCAGUGCGCUUGGGAUAGUCUAGUCAUUUCCUCAAAUACAGAUGCGCUAAAUCUACUGUUAUGUCUAUGGUCUAGCAUCCACAAGCUUUUGUGAAUCACUCACCUUACAGAAUGCUAACCUUAUAGUUCAACUACUUUGGUUGCAACACGUAAAUCCUCCUUAAAUGUCAAAAACUGAGGUAGAAGGUAGGUCAUUUGAGGAACCAGCAUAAAAACUUGUUUAUGGAAAAAUUAUCGGGCAUUAAUUAUCAAGUAAUCAUAACAGCAGCAUACCAGAACAUAGAUAGCUGAAAACACCAAUGCUGCAGCUCCGGAUGUUACACAAACAUAACUAAAAGUGUAGAGCUGUUUAUUUAAGGGAACAACAUUUGUGAAAUGAAGAACAAAUCCUAUAAUGAGAAGAGCAACUCCCAUCAGAAUCCAAUGCUUUAGCCUACUGGAAUCAGCCUUCAAGUGUACAAGCACAUGUCCAAAAUGAACUCCAAUGAUAGUAGAGAGAACAGCAGAUAUUGAGCUUAGGAUUCCUUCAGGUUCAAAAGGUGCAUGGCACCAUGAUGGAGCAUCACUUUGGAAAGGCCCCUCAUAUGGGGAAUUCUCCGUGCAGGCCUUGGAUCUCCUCCAAGCUGGAUGAUGAUACAUGUGAGCUAUUCCUAGGACUUUUCUGUCAACAUACCCAGCUGCAUUACAAGGAGGAUCCAGUUUUCCUCUAACAUUGCAGACUACAUUGAAAACCUUCCCAUAAUCAGCACUGUCCCUAUUAUUUAUGGUAAACUGCCAAUCAGAGACAUAUGCCCCAUAAAUUACAGACAAGUAAACAACAAGUAUACAUGCUCCUGUCAGCCAAUGCCAACAAUAUAACCUAAACAUAGAGAACCGGCCAGGUUGCAAAUCCCUAGGUUUUGUGUCUUUUGUAAAGAUUUCCACCAGCGCCAUUAUUAGGUAUGCAAAAGCAAUUCUCUGGAGAAUGCCACACCAUCUCACAUACUUCAUGUCAACACCGUAAGUCAGUUUGUCAGGAGCGUGAGAAAAACCUCCUUGUAAUAGGAGACCCCAAAAGAGGAGUUUUAGAGUUCUGAAAAUCACUUUCUUAACGGCUUGACCCCGGCUUAUUAUUCUCUUUAGAGCAAGAGGAAUGGCCAUCCCAACUAUAAACAGAAAGAAUGGCAUAACAAAAUCAGCCACAUUGCAACCAUUCCAUGGUGCAUGUCCAAUCAUUGGCCAUUCUCCUCCAGCAUCAUCAACCAGAAUCAUCAACGCCACUGUGAGGCCUCGAAAGAUGUCAAGUGCAGCAACACGCCCUGCCUUGUGGAUCUUUUGCUCAGAAAUAUUAGCUUCGGCUACUAUCAGACGGUGGUCGUGAGUAGCAUCCACCUUAAUUUCAGCCAUUUUCAGUGACGGUUGCUGAUUGGAACAAGGAAAACACAGAAAGAAGCUCUUACACUCAAAAUUGCCUCAUGCUUUGCUUUCCUUUUAUACGGCGUAUGGGUCCGUGAGAUAAGAUUGGACAAGUUGAAAAUUAAAAUCUUUUUUAGUCAAAAAAUGAUUUUUUUUUUCUUAGUCGACAACUCGUCAUUUAACUCUGCAGUCUCUCUUGGAAACGACAAAAAUCCACUUGACAUCGCAUGGUUAAAUAAUCAUUGCCAAUUAGGCAAUUUUAGAGUCCAGCUGAAGAUAUUUUCAGAUGCACUGCUGUUGAUCCCUCUGUAUCUUCAAUGGGUUUCAAACUGCAACGCUCAAUCGGAAUUGCAUGCGUUCCAAUUCAGUUCUGUUAAACCAUGCAUUCAGUGAAAAAUGUAUGUAAAUUUUUUGGGUGCUAGUUCCUUUCAUAUGUUCUGGAAACGGGCAUUAGUUCAUAAUGGAUGAAUUCGACACCAAUGGUGAGGGCUAAAAAUCAGAGUCUCCAUCAAAUCUUUUCUUUCAAUUUCUGAAAUGGAGGCAUUCCUUCUUCAAAUCAUCAGAAGGUCAAUGACCAUCUCAUAAUAUUACUACUCUCUUGACUUCAAUGGAACUUAAAAGAUUAAAUUUUACACAUGGAAACCACUUAAAGCCAAUGGGUAUUCUAAUAAUGUCCUCUGGAGCAAAAUCUUUUCCUUCACAAUCCUCAUCAGCUACUGGAACAGGAAAUUCCCUCCAGGCUCCAGCUCUGCUUUGUGACAUGCAUCUUCAAUUUGUUAAACGAAUAAUUUGCAGCAGAACUACUUUACUGCCCCUCAACCAACCACUAGGGCCGUAAAUUUGGACUAACCACAACUGUUUCCCCCACCUGUUCCAGAGGGAAAAGCUGAUGUUCAGCCUGAUAGAAACAAAAAAUGUGAAACUUCCUCCAGGAUUGUAUUGUUAAAUGUAAAUGUGUACUGCAUAGUUUUUUAGUAAGUGACAAGAGUUUCUUACAAUAGAAGCUUUACAGGAAACUGCAAGGGUAGCAAAAAAGCAUGCAAUGCAUAUGGAGAGCACCCUCCCAGUAAGAAACCGCCUUCUUUGUCAACAUAUGGGGUGUAAACAACGUUGGUUAUGUGCAGCAAGGCAUGUCUAAUUAUUAGAUUCACAAGACAACCAAGGCAUUUGUCAUGACAUAUAUCACUUGUCGAGGAAUUUAAUGUGACUAUUGUACCUGUUAUUUUAUUACCAUCCACAAAAGAGAUGAUAACUGCAAAGAGAGUACCUUUGUUGGCACCAGUCCUGCCUGUGACCAUCCUUUGCCCCACCCACUGCCUAAGCCAAUGGCAACUCCAUCAUCUAUACCAUGCCCAACGCCUAUUGCUUGCAUUCCUCCCCAACUCUUUCCCCUUCCACAGCCCACCCCAGUUGGCUUUCUAUCUGAGCGGCAUUGCAUCUCCUCCUGAACUUUAUCAAUCACCUCUAUAUAUUUGGUUCUUCGUGAAAGACUGGAUUAGAGGUGAUAUGAAUAGUGGCUUGGUAUUGUAGGUACUCAUCAUAAUCUGUUCUGGUUAAGGUAAUAGAAUUGGACAGUCAUCCUUUGCAUCAAGUAAAAGAAAAAUUCCAUCUCCAACAGUCUGAGUCAUAUGAACUAUAGGUCGCCCAGUAUUAGUAGUUUGAUUAUUGCGUGGUGGUCGACCAUGCAAUGACCAGCAAUUACCCCUUGUGUGACCUCCUUUAUCACAAUAAGUAUAGCGUGGCUUGGAAUCUCUUUCCUUUCCUUUUCGUUGUCCUCCUUGUCCCUGCUGACUUGCAUUCUGUAUGACUAGCACUGAAUUCUUAGUUUCAGUAGUAUCAUUUGUAUUAAUAGAGAUGCACAGCAAUCGCGCAGAAAUUUCUUCCAGAGUGGGAAUAACUGAACUCAUUAGGAUUUGAUCUCUAACAGAGCCAAAAUCAUAUCGGAGUCCAAUCAGAGGCAAGACCAUAAAGAAUUUGUCUUGUUGUUGUUCUUGUGUUGUAAUGUUAUCAGAGGAGGGCAUGAGAGAGUUGAACUCAUCUUUUAGGGAUUCUACUUGCCCUACAUAACUUGCCAUAUCUUGUUGGUUUUGCUGUAAGUGGACAACAUCUGAGACAACUUUAUAUAUACAUUGAACAUCAUUAGUGUAAAGUGUCUAGGCUUUGAUCCAGACUUUGCAACAAGUUUUGCAUGAUUGGAAUAAAAUAAGUAAUUUAGGUUCAAGAGAAUGCCAUAGAAGACUUCACAAUUGUGCAUCAAUUUUAGAGCAGCUUAUCCUAUCAGUAGCCAUAAUAUCACUAGCAUUUUAACUAAAUGAUCAUCAUAGCCCUGACCCAUAAACCGUAAUUCUACUGAGGCAGCCCAUGAUAUGUAAUUGUUACUACCUUGUAGUUUCACAGUAGUAAUGGUUAGAGAGCUUGAAAUAGUAGAGAAGAUUGGUUUGAGUGCACCUGAAUUUGAAGAGUCUCCCUUUUCUGUAAUACUUUAAAGAUCUAGAAACCUCGUAGCAAUCCAAAAAUAGAAGUCCUAAAGAAGAAAAUCACAGAAGAACAGGACCUAGGCUACUGUCGUACGUUGAGGAGAAAAGAAGAAGCCCAAGAUUGGGUUGGUGGCUGAUGAGACUCGUCGGAGGGAGACGAGCUGCCCGGCGUCUGAUUCGGCAAGAAGUGUUGCCGGAAAACCACUCGCGCCGGUGCAUGUAACAAUGCAGGAAAAGCUAUGGCGGUGCAUGGGAACAUACGGCGAGGAGUCCAACACCGACCUUCUGAGGGCUGACUCGCCAGCGGCUAAGGAAGCUCCUAGGGCUGGUGGUGUUGUCCACCUCCCUCUGUAAAAGGAUGAGCAAAAGAGCAGCCCCGUGUUCCUUUUAGGGACUGCCGAAAAAUUAGGCCUUUUUAGCUCUGAUACCAUGAGAAAAAACG
rnacentral:misc_RNA from 1 species